CCGAAAUGACUAGUAAUGAGCUAACUAGUGAACUAGAAAAGAACAAGGAUAAAACAAUAAUUAAAAAACUAACACGAAAAAAUAUACAAGCCAUGCAUAGAAAACGAGGGGAAAGGAUAAAAUAUACAAAACGAGUCACUCAAGACCUAGUAAAGCUAGUAGAAGAGCCGCUAUACACCAGGAGUACUAGACAAGGCCAAAAUAUAAAAAAUAGUCUCCGAAAGAUAAAAAAUAAG
rnacentral:lncRNA from 1 species